rnacentral:rRNA from 1 species
AGGUAAGCUACUAAGAGCGAAUGGUGGAUGCCUUGACUGGUAAAGGCGAUGAAGGACGUACUAGACUGCGAUAAGCUACGGGGAGCUGUCAAGAAGCUUUGAUCCGUAGAUUUCCGAAUGGGGCAACCCAAUGUAUAGAGAUAUACAUUACCUAUAUAGGAGCGAACGAGGGGAAUUGAAACAUCUUAGUACCCUCAGGAAAAGAAAUCAAUAGAGAUUGCGUCAGUAGCGGCGAGCGAAAGCGCAAGAGGGCAAACCCAGUGCUUGCACUGGGGGUUGUAGGACUGCAAUGUGCAAGAGGUGAGUUUAGCAGAACAUUCUGGAAAGUAUAGCCAUAGAGGGUGAUAGUCCCGUAUGCGAAAAACAAACCUUAGCUAGCAGUAUCCUGAGUAGGGCGGGACACGAGAAAUCCUGUCUGAAGCUGGGUCGACCACGAUCCAACCCUAAAUACUAAUACCAGAUCGAUAGUGCACAAGUACCGUGAGGGAAAGGUGAAAAGAACUGAGGUGAUCAGAGUGAAAUAGAACCUGAAACCAUUUGCUUACAAUCAUUCAGAGCACUAUGUAGCAAUACAGUGUGAUGGACUGCCUUUUGCAUAAUGAGCCUGCGAGUUGUGGUGUCUGGCAAGGUUAAGCAAACGCGAAGCCGUAGCGAAAGCGAGUCUGAAUAGGGCGCUUAGUCAGAUGCUGCAGACCCGAAACGAAGUGAUCUAUCCAUGAGCAAGUUGAAGCUAGUGUAAGAACUAGUGGAGGACUGAACCCAUAGGCGUUGAAAAGCCCCGGGAUGACUUGUGGAUAGGGGUGAAAGGCCAAUCAAACUUCGUGAUAGCUGGUUCUCUCCGAAAUAUAUUUAGGUAUAGCGUUGUGUCGUAAUAUAAGGGGGUAGAGCACUGAAUGGGCUAGGGCAUACACCAAUGUACCAAACCCUAUCAAACUCCGAAUACCUUAUAUGUAAUCACAGCAGUCAGGCGGCGAGUGAUAAAAUCCGUCGUCAAGAGGGAAACAACCCAGACUACCAGCUAAGGUCCCUAAAUCUUACUUAAGUGGAAAACGAUGUGAAGUUACUUAAACAACCAGGAGGUUGGCUUAGAAGCAGCCAUCCUUUAAAGAAAGCGUAAUAGCUCACUGGUCUAGUGAUUUUGCGCGGAAAAUAUAACGGGGCUAAAGUAAGUACCGAAGCUGUAGACUUGCGCACAACUUAGAUUAUUUAAGUUUAGAAUAUGAGAAACUAAGUUAUAUGUUUAGUUAUAUUUUUACUGAUUUUUAUAGAGUAAAGAUAGAAAUAAAACUUAGUAAA